GCAGCCAGCCUCCUUGUCCUCCGGGAGCACUUCCUCCCCUCUGCAAUGGGAAUGGUUUUUGGACUGGAAUUGCUGCUAUUUGCAAACUCGUUCAGCCCCUGACUUUUCUCGUUGGGUGAGAAGACAGAGCAACGCGCACCUGCUGUCUGCCAGCACUGAGUGACGGCUGCUGAUGGAAUCUACGUGGGAAAGCCCUUCGCCAUCAAAAGGCUCUGGCUGUGUGGACGGAUGCAGAGUACUGCCCGUUGGCUCUGACCUAGCCAGGCACAAGCCAGCUCCAGGCUGGGAGCGCACCGCAGCGCGUGCUGGCUGGCCACUGACCCCGAGCUGUCCCAGCCUGGCUGGAACUGCAUCCCCACGUGCUGAGGAGAGCUGCCCUCCGGAAGGCGUCUCUGCUGCUGCUGUGAGAACACAAUCCUGGUGAGAGAGGCCCAGCUAAGCACAGCUCCUUUCAGAUUUGGCCGCUCAGUGUUUUCCAUUAGCUUGAUACAUGCUGUUUACAUCCUACUGCCGCCAGUGCCAGAGAUAACUGCCUUGGGAGCAGCUCCCUGCAGGUAUUGUUAGCAGCUGCUGGAAACAAAGGCGUUUGUUUUAGCCACGUCACUGUCUAAACAGCCAGAAAUAGAUUGCUUUUUUUAUUGCUAGUACGCCAAUAAAAAUCGGUCCGGUUCUCCUGGCCAAAAGAUGCCUUCUGAGAAUCUUGCGUGCUGUGAGGGAUGGCAUCUGUGCAAACAGCCCAGCAACAGCAAAGAGCGUGAUGCUGAGGCGAAGAAUGCAUGAAGGGCUCUCGUGGCAACCAAGCAUUUCUCCUCCACGUGUCAUCACCACCAGCAUCCGCUGCUUGCACUUGGACAGCAUUGCUUCCAGCCAACACCAUGUGGUUCCUUGCCGCAUAGUUUGCUUCUGUCUCUUUUCAGACUGUAAGCUGAGACUGCAGAACACACGCCGUCUCAGCUAGAAACUUAACUCUGAUUUUAAAAACAAAUCAAAAAAUCCAGCCAGCUGCUGAUGCCCUUCCUUUCUGCACUGAGUCACGGGGAGCGUGGAGGCCGUGCUAUUACACUGAUUCCAGAGAUGGUGAUCAGGAAAAUACUGUCUGUGCUCCUCAGAAGGACUUGAUGCGAACUGUUGCCAGAGAUUUGUCACUCGGUGGAUGGAGUGCGGGAUGGAACAUAGCAGCUCCUGCUGGUGCCUUUGUCACUGCUCCAAAGUGUGAGACCACUCGUGCAGCAAGGGGAGGGAGAGGGAUCAGAGCUCAGGAUGGUCCUCAGGUGGAGAAAGGCAGCAUGGAGAUGGCUACAGUGAGAAGAUCAAUGCUCAAGCAAGGCCACCGGGUUCAUGCCAGCACCCAGAGACCAGGGCUCUGGUGUCCCCAGCCCACAUGCAGUGAUAUCCAAAAGAGCAUGGGAUGUGACAGAAGUCACCCAUCAGAGACAGGCACGUGGGAGUGUAGCAAGAGAUGUUUUGUAAUCAUAAAAGCAACCAACAGCAUUGUAAAGGCUGCAAAGCAGAGACUGGUGAGAAUGUGUAGCUCCAACAUUCAGCAUGAAUUGGCAAAGCAGGCAUGUAAGUAAUCAUAGAGGGCCAUUGUGCGACUGAGUCCAAACUGCUGUUUGAUGAAAUUACUUCUCUGAAUAAGUCUCACUUAACCUACAGUAAAUACCUCUGAAUAAAAUGUCCAGCCUUAAUAUACAACAUUUUAAAUGACAGAGAAUUUAUCCCAACCUUUGGCAAAUAGUUCAAACAGAUUAUCAGCCUUUCUGUUUAGAACCGUCUUAGUGUUUCUAGCACAAAUUAAUCGGGGUGGAGCGUCUAAUUGCUGGUAACUGGAUCUGUUAUGGCUCCAUGUGCCAAGCUGGCAGCUCCUGUUACCAGAUUCCUGCUUCUCAGAGGCAGCCCUUGCAGGGAGAGAGCUGUGAUUCUGCAGUGGGACUGGUGCUGGAACUGUGGAGGCUGCCCCAGGCCUCUGCCUGUGCCGGCCUUGCUCUCAGUGUGACAUGGCGGCUCUGGGCUGUGGAGGAGGUCUGGAUACUAGCUCAAGGGCUGCUGCCGUCCUUCUGGCCUGGGAUGACCCAAAUCUGCUCCUACAACCUGUUGGACAGGAGCUUGUUGAGGCACGGGGAAGCUCCACGGGGUUGGACUGGAUUUUAUUGCUGUGGUUUCCCAGGCCGCUCUUGGGGACCAACGUUUUCUCUGUCAGAGUGAAAGCGUGCCUGACAGAGGGAGUUGUUUCAGAGCUAAACAACGUCUGUGUUUAAACAUUUGUUUUUAAUUAGGCUUCUGCUCUGUGGCCAAUUAUGAAGCCUGAAACUACUGGGCAUCACUAGAGCCAUCCCUUGUCAAAGCCGCCGUACUUGCUGCUCCUCACUCUCUGGCAGGAGGCCCCGUCUGCUCACCCCUUUGUUUCCUCCUGCAGCCAUCCUGCAGCUCUCCUCCUUUCUCCUGCUGACCCUUAAGCUAUUUUCAGUAAACCUCUUUCUUUUCCCAGUGGGGGCAUUCUGUAAUUAAGGAGGCAGUGAUAACAUCUAGUGAUUAUUUACUGAUGUCCUUUAAAAAGGGAGCUCUGAGCCUGUCCCCUCUUCUCCCUUCCUUGCCAUAAACAGAGCUUAGUGUGGAACCUGGAGCUACGCUGAUGUGUGUGCUGAUUAGAUGCCUCUUCUCAGUUCAACUCGUUUGUCCAUACUGACUAUUUCCUACACGUUAAGGCCUUUUAGAAAGAGGACACUUUCCUGCCCAGCCUUCUCCCAUUUUUUGAGCACGUGUCCCCACUCACUGCAUUGGGUGCCCCAGAAAGGAGAGAGACAACCCAAUCUAGCGCAAUGCCUUUGCUGUGGUGCCUGCGGGGAGCUGUCACACAGAUGGCCUCAUCCCAGGUCUCCUUUAUUGAUGUUGUUACACAGCCCUGCGCUAUGGCAACUGGAGCAGGAGAGAUGAGGGCCCCAAGAUGGCUGCCUGGGCUGGGGGUGUUGAUCCAGUGUGGGUGAGUCACAGGGCCGUGCUUCACCUCAGCCACCUCCGGCAGCUCUGCUGUGAGUCACCGCAGCCUGAGAAGACUUGCAGCACUUCCUGGGCCACGGGGAGGAGGGCAUCGGGUGACAACAUCACCUGUCAUGGGGAUGGAGUCAUGUGGAGAUCCGCUUUGGGAGCGGGAGGAAACAGCACCCCAGGAAGGGCUCUCAGGUGUCCCAGCUGGGUGUGUGUUUUGGUGUUAUGGGACCUACAGGGCAAAGACACUUCCCACAGGGGAGCAAGGAGGGGUGGCAAGGUGUGUACGCAUCACUCUGUCACAGCAAAACCUGCAAGACGAGGAGGGGGGAUGCAGCAGAGGGUUUGUGGAGGAGCCAGUCCCCCAGAAACACUGGGGCAGCCCCAUGUUUCAAGUGAGAAGUGUAAUAGACUGGUACGAAGGGGCAAAGUAUCACUGUGCGCAUGCAGGGUGCUCUACCUGGAAGCUCUGGAGCAAUCUUCAGGUCAGGCAGAAAACCUCACAGGAGCAGUCCCUCGCCUUUUCCAGAGGAGUCACUUGGCUGGUUGGUGCAUGAAUGCAUGAGAACGAGUCACCAGGUGGAUGUGGCGUGUUCUGGGCACAUUGUGCAUGACCACUGUGUCCCUGCUGUGUCUCAGAUUAUAAAGAUGUGCACUGUAGCUGCAAUGUCAUGAGGCAGCCAAUGGUAGUGCAGGUGGGGUGAGCUCUGGAUGCUCUCCACAGGUGCAUCUGGAGCUGUUUGCAGAAUGUGGCACAGUUCGCUCUGAGAGAUGCCCUAAAAGCCUCCUGUGCACAUCGGGCCAUCCCAGAGGUGCAGGUGUUUUUCUGCUAUACUGCCUGAAUGUGGAUGUGGGAGAGCCGUGGGCUCCAAUCUGUGAAUCCUGGCUUUAUGUGACCAAAGUCUUUGAAGUAGUUCUCCAGAGAAUUGGCUGAAAAGCAAGGGCAUUUCGAAAUGCUCAGAGUGUGGAGGAAACCUGCUGGGUCUGCUGGGUUUUGCUCCAGAGUAGGUAGGGCAGCUCAGGUCCUCAUUUUCUGGAGGCCAGGAAUGUGCUGGGUGUCUCGACGGCCCAAAGGGUACUUGGCUCAUGUACCCCCAGAUAGGCAUUUGGCCCUGUGUGCAUCUUGUUUUCAGGAAUGGAAGAGCUCGGUGUGCCCCAUUCUUUCCACCUGUCUUUUAUCAGUUUACUCUUCAUAAAAGGAUUAUGCUAAUGCAUGUCUUGGCCUCAUCCCAGUGGUGCCUCAUAUCAGCUGGGAGCACCCAGCAGCAGCAGCCAGGCCUUCCUGUUUCAGGACAGAUAUUUGGGGCUGUAUAAGUUGCACACCCUAAAGUUAACUGUUUGGUUACAGGAAGCCACGCUGUUGAUUUGGUGUCCUAAUGACCAUGACUUCAGUGAAACGGCUGAGGUUGGAAGGACCCUUUGGGUCAACCAGGUCCAGCCCCAGCUCCAGCAGGGCCACCCAGAGUAGCUCCCCAGGCCCACAUCCAGGUGGCUUUGGGAGAUCUCCAAGGAGGAGACUCAAUAGCCUUUCCGGGCAGCAUGUAUCAUUUCUUCUGUUUUGGGAUGUAGGGCUGCUUAGAAAUAGAACUCUGAUGCUUUAUAAUGAGGAUUUUGGCUCUCCUAUCUUACACAGAGAAUUAAUUUUAUUCAUUUAGUUUGUAAAUGGGUCCAAAUUAGAACACAGUGGGGCAAAGAGAUUGAUGAGAUGAGCAGAGCCACAGGCAUUGCAGCACAGUGACCAUGUGUCAGGAGCAGGUGCUCACUGCUGCCUUGCAGGAGGAGUUUCUCCAGGAGCAGCCGAGCUGGGACAUGCGGUGUGUAAGGGUUGAGCCAUGUGUCAUUACUCAGAGAAGCAAGACAAAUGAGAAAUCAAUUGAACAUCAAACCAUGGCUGCUGAUUGUCUGUGUUGAAAAUAAAUGAUUCAUCGAGUGCUUUAAUUGAUUCAUAUAUGCGGCAGGGAGUUCCAGUCUUGAUUUAUGGACCUUUCCACCAGUCAGGCAGGAAAGUCUUGCUCCCACUCACUUUAUUUGUGCAACAAACAUCCUUUUCUCUUGGCAUGGGUUAAGCCAACCCGCUUGUAAGCUUUUUGUCCCUGACUGUUUACUCUGCUUUAAAGCGAUUGGUCACUUGGCUCGCUCAAGUAGUGCUACUGCUAUCAGAACCAGGUAACUGAUUUGGAUUCUAUAUCAGAGGUGUCCAGAAGGCAUCAGCAUAGCCCUAAGCAAAAUGCUGGGCUUUGCAGCUCAGAGAGCUGCAGCCUGCAGUGCACUAUGCCCACAGAUCUAUGUGACUGCGUUAAUGAGACUGCACUUUCUCCCUGCUGCUCUCCCAGCUAAGGAGGAGGUUCUGGAGAUCUGCUUUUUGCCUUCUCACAGCUGUCCCACAGGUUAUCAGAACAGCAGGGCAGCCAGGGGGUGUUGGCUGUGGGUGAGGAGGUGGAUGGUGACUUGCCUAAUCUGUCGGUGGCACUGCAGUGGAUCAGGGAGAGAAGGGCUCCAUCCGCACUGGCACUGGCGGAACGACACAGGGAGAGAAAAAGGCCUUGGAAAGUUGUCGCAGGGUUUGUCAGGAAGCUAAAGGCAGACUCUUAUUAGCCACGUGUGCCCCCAGUUGUACGGAGGGGAGCAGCCAGCCAGCCCCUUCACCACCCAAGCUGUGUGGUGGUGGUGUUUGCUGUUGGGCUGUGUGUUUUCCUCUAGGUUUGUUCACCUGUCCUGUAGGCUGGGGGCAAAGAAACAGAGCAAGUUGUCUGAAGGGAACUAUAAUAAAAUAUUGCAGAGUGUCCAGGAGGGCUUUGAAGGUGGUGAAGGGUCUGGAGGGCAAGAAGUAUGAGAAGAGGCUGAGGCCUUGGUUUGCUCAGCCCACAGCAGAGGAGGUGAGGGGAGGCCUCAUGGCGGCUGCAGCUCUUCACAGGGAGUGGAGGGGCAGCGCUGAGCUCUGCUCUCUGUGAUAGAGACAGGGCCAGAGGGAAUGGCAUGGAGCUGUGUCAGGGGAGGGGCAGGUUGGGUGUUAGGAAAAGAUUCUUCAACAGAGGGUGGUGGGCAUGGUCCCAAGCUACCAGAGCUCAAGGAGCAUUUGCAUGAUGCUCUCAGACACAGGGUUUCGAUUUUGGAUGGACUCACAGAUCUUCGUGGGUCCCUUCCACCUCAGAAUGUUCCAUGAUUCUAUGAUGCUCCAGUCAAAUGGCGCCAAGCUCCUCUACCUGCCACAAACCACAGGAGAUGCUGCAACUGAUAGGUAGGUUGAAAUGGUGUGAGAAACAAAAUCAACCCCACAGUUGCAAUCUCUUGCAAUGGUUUGCCUCCAAGUUGUAACCCAGUAACCCAGGGGUUGAUUAAGGAUGGAGUCUGAGCAGCCUUUGGCUUUGUACAGCCCACAGCUGCUGCACUGCUGUAGGAUAAACUGGACUGCAGGAUCUGCCUGGCUAAGAAACAGUGCUUUUCAUCAGGCUGUUUCUCAGAUGGAUCUUUUCCUUUUUUCACCUAUUUCUUUACGCUAAUGUCAGGACUGGUGCAGUGGGAACAGAUGAGCUCCUGUUUUUCUGUAUCAGUUCUGCUGAAUUCCAAAUCAUAGCUACUGAGGUUUGCACUGGCAGUAGCUACACUAGCCUGGUGGAAAGCAUGCCCAGCCUCUGUAAACACAGGGAGUCUUCAUGAUUUGAUCAACUGGCAUUGUUACCUCAGUCUGUUUGGCAAUGAGACAGUGAACAGUGCUGCCACAUAUGUUUGUCUUUCUUAGGUGAUAUGUUUUUUAUUGUGUCAGAAAGAGUUUGUGCCUUGUGUCAGUCCACUCCACUCUUGUUUAGAAUGGUGCCCCCACAAAUGAGAAAAAUAAACUUGGAAACCACCCUGGGUCUGCACCAGAGCUGUCUCAAGGCCCCAUGAGCCCGAGCUUCCUGCAGCCCAGCAGUAUAGCAUGAGCAAGUUAUCUGAGUUGCUUUUUCCCCACCAAAUUCCUGGGUUUUGCAACAGAGGGUUUCCAAAGCCUGCCAGGGAUGGGUCCCAGGGCUUUGUUUCCUGGCCAGAGGAGCGGUGUGCGGAUGCACUAAUGGAAAUGGUCUGUGCACACAGUUUCUUCAACAACAAGAGAUGUGUUGAAGCUGGGUCUGGUUGUUCCUUCCCUUGGUGCGUAGCUCGCCUGGCUCUGCAGCGUUUCACUGGAGAUAGCAUGGAUUGGGUAUGGCGAGAGGAAGCGAGACUAAGGGUUAAGAGCUUUGCCUGAGUUCUGAAUAAGCUGUCUAAGAAAACAGAUACGUUGUGAAAAGUAAGAAGAAAAGAGAUAUGCUGAUGGUUCUGGGCAGUUGCACAUGUGGUUGUUACAGAUAAGGACCAGAUCCUCAUAGAGAAGAAUGCUGGGUGUGCUUCUUGUGUUCUUUACUGGUUCAAAGUCAGCAAUGUAAACGUGGGGAGGGUUCCUUGUUCCCCAUAUGAAGGACAUAGGUGAGUCGAGCACUGCUCUGUAAGCGUUGCUUCAGCGCUGUUUCUGCAGAGAGGCUGAAGGAACUCAUUAUUCAUGAUUUUAUCUUACUACCUGAAAUACAUAAAUAGCCUAAAGGUUCCUCUGAUGGACUUUUUCCAGCUCUUUGAUGUGCCAAAGAUAAUUUCUAACAUACUCCCUCAACCUGUCCCCCCUCCCUAGCUCGGGUUUAAUGUUUCUACUUGUUAUGUUUACCUGUCUGUACUAGGCUGCAAGCUCUGCAAGGCAGGGGCCUUGCCAUCUUUCAUGUUGAAGGAGUUGUAACAUCAACAACUAUAAAACAGGAUACAAAUUAUCAAAGCAACAAAAAAUGAGGCAGCUCAGCUCUUGGGCAUCUUCUGCACUGAGAAGCUUGCACCGAGCCUCACGGUGCUCUGGAUUUUGAGUCUGCGUGACUGCAGCAGAGAGAGUGGAUGGGUGCAUCCCCAGACCUGUCCCUGGACUUCAGUAGAUUAUAUGCAAGAGAUGGGUAAAGCUGAGUCAUGUGUGCUGCCUGCUCCAAGUCCUUGCAGAUGGGACGUGUCCCUGAGCGUCCCUCAGAUCCAGCAGCACGCCUGGGAACCUCCAGUACGCUAGCAGCCAGGUCCUGCUCACCUUCCCAUUCUGAGAGCCUCUUGCAGCCUAGGAUGUGUCACUGUUGCUGCGAUAACCUCCUGUUGUGCUGGGAGUGGUGCCUCUGUGGUGGCAGCCGGGGAGCAGGCUUUGAUCCCGUGCAUCCACGCUUCUUUUGGGAUCCCAGCCUCUGUGUCUCCCUUGCCUAGGGCUGCAGAAGGCCCUCACAAUCUCUUCACAUGCAGAGCAGCACCCUUGGGUGCUCACAGUCACUCUGGCCCUUUGCUAGGAUCCAGAAGUGCUCUCAUCGCUGGCUCCUUCUUUGCCCAUCUGCCUCUGCAGACUCUUCCACACUUCUUUCAAACAAAGCUAUUAUUCCGCUGACCCAGGCCUGCUGUUUGCUGAUGAAUUGGAUGCUGUUCACUGCAGCUCAAAAUACUCUUUGCUGCUCUUAAUGCUUUCCAUUCAUUUUCUAUGGCGAUCAGAUUCAUGGCAGCAGCUACGCAGCUUUCAUUGAUACCCAAUGCAGCAUCUAUACCCUCAGCAAAGGCUUUUUUGUGCAUCAGGCUCCAAACCUUUCAAGCAGGCUAUGGUGAAAAGCCAUAAUGUCCCUUUUCUGCCAUGCCCCAAGCCACCUGCAGCCUGUGAAAGAGCACAUUGUUUCUGCAAUUAACGAAACAACACAGGCAGUGUCUUUGCUGCUUGUGGGAGAGGGCUCUGGGUAAUCCCUCCUUGCUCUGCCCCCAGCCUUCAUCCCACCCCCCAUCCUGUCUGAGGCCCAAUUUCAGCCCCACUGCUGCUUCAUUCCAAAUGAGGGUGAGUUUUGCAGGAUAGCAUUUUGGUCCAGCAGCUAAAUGAACCUCCUGAUAUCGUGUUACCCAGUGGGCUGGCUGUGCUGGGUGCCACAGGCAGCUCCUAGGUGUGAGGGUUUUCAAUGAACAGCCACAGUUUUCUUCUUGCUCUCUCUGGAAGACUGUGUGCCUCUAAGUGACCAACGUGGAGAGGGAGGUGUUGGGUUGUUGUGUUUUUCCUUCUUUUUCCUUUUCAUUUUUCUCUUCCCAAAAAAGCACUGUAUAGGGGAAAGGUGCUGCACUACCUUUUGCUCAGAUAAAAGGAGCCUGACAGCUUAGCACUGCUCAGAGACAGGAAAAUUGCUUUGUCUGGUGAAUAUUCUAAAGACAUGAAAUAACAAGACAUGAUCAAAAUCCUCUGCUCAACAGAAGAGCUGUUGCAGCUCUUGCGGAGCCAACAAUUCCUUUGUUUCCCUCAGCUUCUGUAGAACAAUGUGAGAGAAGGAGCAGCAGAGAUUUGUGACUGCUUUCUGCUAACGAAACAGGAGGUUCGGGCUGCAGUUUGUGCUGGCAGCCUCAGGAAAAGUCCCUGCCCCAGCAGAGAAGUUGGGGUUUACCACGGGCAGGUCCUUGCUGGCACUAACCUGGUUCACCUGCUGGAGAAAGGAGCUGUCAGCGACAGUUCGGCGCUGUCGGGAGCCACCCAGAUGCAGCACGGGCACGUUGGCGUGGUGCAGUGCCAGCCCCGCGCUUACGCCGCUUAUUUUCCAUACAUGGAGCAGCGUCAUGCAGGGAGCAGUAGUGCUGCCUAAGGGAAACCAACAGCGCUGAACCAAGGGUGGAUAACACGCUGAGCUAGCAAAAGGCCAGAAGUAGCACGGCUCAACCAGGGGCUGCAGAUGCAGAACCCCCUGUUUGGUAGGGCCAUCCCUCAGACGAGGCUCGCGGUGAAGCCAGGCACGGGGACUGAGCCGCCUGUUUGCCUUGUGGGAGAAGUCCCAGGCUGCAGUUAGCUUUGGAUGUUUGAUCCUGUCUGAGGUCAUUUCUUCUCCUAUCUGCAAUAUUUCUAUUGCGAAUGCCCUCAAGCAUUUAACUGAUGUAACACCUCUAAUUGCCCAAUGAACAUAUUGCCUCCAUUGUCCCUGUGAUCCUAGCCACAAACGUCGGGGCAGGAACCUAUCAUUUGCUGGCUUACAGAUGGAGAUGCCAGUAAACAACAGCGUUCUGUGGGUGUCACUGGGAGGUGAUCCGAUCCGGAGCCAGCGCGGGGCUGCCCGUGUGGGAAGCAGGCCAGCAUGCCUGCUGGGGUAGCCACAGCCAGCUUCAUUGCUCAACAACAUUUUUACGUUAUUUUUACAGGGUGCCCAAUGGCCGGGCUUGCCACUGAGCAGCCAUGGGAUGGUGGCUGCAUUGAAUUCCCGGUGAUCCCACUGUUUGCUGGGGGAAAGGCAGGGGGGCAGGAAUGUCUGUAGGUGCACGACGCUGCCUCUACGAUAGGAGAACCCAUCCAUCAAUGUCAGCCUGGAAAAGAGAGGGCUGGGGGCUAUGGCAGGAGCCUAGGGCAUGAUGAAUAGCAGGAAGAAUGGGAGCUGUUGCUCACGAGAUGUAAGGGAUGUUAAAUGAAGUCAUAGACCAGAUAUAUUUUUAACGCAUUGAGGAGGAAGUCUUUUUCACAUGGACGUAAUUAAUUGGCAGAACUCAUUGCCACAGGAUGCUUCAGGUGCCGAAACUAUACAUUGGUUCAAAAGCAAUUAGGCAAAUUAAUGGGACAGUAACCAGCAGAGGCCUAGUGCGGCUGAUACUGCAGAUGCUGCCUGUGGCUUAGGAAACUGCUCUCCCCCCAUGACCAGAGCUGCAGCCCAGACACACUGUGUCUUCUCCUCCCAGGGUUCUCCAUGCAGGAUUUGCAAUAUCCCAAGCAUAGGGAGUUUUCCCCAGCGUAGAAAGAAAUCCCCAGGUCCCCAACACUGCCACGUGCUUUGCAAGGAGUUGGGGCAGGGGCCUCAGCACACGUGCUUCCACUCCACUCUCUAUUCUGCUGGAUGGGUGAUCCCCAAGGCGCUUUCCCUGUGAUUUGCACAGCUCCAGCUAACUGUGGGAUGUACUGAUGCCAUGAGGUGCAGGUGCAGUGCCCAGAAAUUGCAAGGAAAUAGCCCUCGUGUAUAUGCAGGAGGAAAGAGUGAGGGGGUAGUCUGCAGGCUGUGAUUAAAGCUCAGUGCGUUUACAUUUUAAAUGCUCCAGUGCUCAGUCAGUUUAGAUAGCUUAAUCUUUGAGAAUUAGAUAGCUUAAUCAGACAGAAAUAGAAACGGCACAAAGAAGGUCCUGUAAAACCCCAGGGCUCUGGGUAGAGGCGCUCCAAGUUUGACUUCAUUUUUGUUUAAUGCAGCAGUCUGCUAGGUGCUUUUUAGACAAAGUGCCGGAAAGAGAUUUCAUGUGAGGUGAUAUGUAAAGCAAGAACUGUGAUUUGUUUAUUACAUUAAAGAACACAGGCAGAGCUUUAGGAUAAAAGAGUGUAAAAUAAAAUGACGUGGGAAGCCAAACGGCAGCACUUUGUGCCUGGCAGAGAGUGGUGGGACGUGGACUGUGCCAGGUUGCCUUCUCUGCACCGCCCUGGGCUUGAAGGGAUGCUCACGUUGACUUGGGCUUGUAAGGACACUGGCUGCCGCAUAAGGAAACAGUCAAUGGAUGAGAUCUACAGAGAAAAAAACAAACAAGGAUAUAAAUGACAUUCAGCUUUGCUUGUUGAGGUUCACCAAACCUCAUAUUUUCUUCCCAAGCAGAUGUUUUGUUUUGUUUUGUUUUCCUGGCUGAGUUUAUCUUCAGAGCUACUCCAAGGCUGUUUAUUGUAAAGCAAAAAAUCACCUUUGGAAACCAGUUGUGGAAAAUAACACAGGUGACAGCAGUGCAUACCUGCGACACAGCAUUCCUGGGCCUCCGUGGAAAUUCAACAGCCGUGCCGUAUAAUCAAGUCUCCUACUCCCGGUUAGCCUAUCUUGAUCACUUGGAAAAUCUGUAUUCACCCAUGAAAAAUGCACUCGCCCCAAGGCGUGCAGGCGUGGGAUUAUUUACCCACGGUUGGUAAGGGCAGUGAGUGCCUGGCAAAGCCAAUCUGUGUGAGGUGGGCAGUGUAGCUUUUGUUGAAACUCUCCAUCCAAUUAGCAUUCCUAUACUGCAUCCUUCCUCCAUUUAUUCUCUGUCUCUUUUUUUUUCUUUCCUGUCCCUGUAAUGAUGCUUGAGGAACACUGUAGAAGCACUCAUUUUGAGCAGUUUGUCCCCCCCCCCUGUUGUUUCCUUGUUUGUCUCUGCAAAUCCCCAGAGCUCCCCAGAUGCAGCAGUGCGUCAUCGGCCCCCAGCCCUGUGCAUGGAGCUGCCAUUGUGUUUUAUGGUUCAAAAUGAAGUGAAAACCUCUGUAGUUACAGUCUCCAGUAAGCUCGCUCAAGGUAGCAAGGAGGAAGAAGAUAAUCUAUUCGGGUCAUUAAGAUGUGAGCAGAUUUCAGCCUGUCCUAAUUAACCCUGUUUGAAAUUUGGCAUGUAUAUAAUCCAUUUUACACACCAGUCCUGACUGAAACUGGUAUUACAGUUCUGCCUCUCAGCAUCUGCUUUUGCAUUUGGAGGCAGUUUACAUAAAUGGGCGGCUUUCAUCUGUGCUCCCACCCCAGCUGUCUCGCAGCAGUGUGGAGCUGUGUUCCCCUGCCCGUCAGGGACAGGCUCAGUGGGGGCACCAGGACUACCAGCAUCAUGGCACACGCUCUGCAGCGGCCUCAGGGGUCCCCAUGCCAGCUUGGGAGCGACACUGGUAGCUGCUUCAAGGAGCUGCCAGAGAACCAGCUCUGUUUGUGCAAGGGUUUGUUUGGUUUUCUUACGAGUGACGUUGAACGAGUGAGCCGUUCCCAGAACAUGCUGCCUAAGCUGACCUUAUCCCUUUAGCCACAAGCGUACCUGCGGCUCGCUAUUUGCUCCCUAGCUCUUUAUGAAUGCUGGUGGAAAUGGCUUGUGGCAGGGCAUGUGGCUUCUGGCAGCAGUAUGUCACGCUGCAGCACCUACCACCCUUUGCCUCUCACCUUGUUUUGGGGUCUUUGGACAUGGUAAGGACAGGCACCCAAGGACAUUCCCAGGCAGAAAAGAGAAUUAGCACCUCCUGGGCACAUCUGCACUGGGAGGCUCCAGCCUGUGGCCUGGAGCUGAAGCACGUGGCAGAGGAAUACAAACAAAUGAGAGGAAGGCUGGUGGUAACUGAGCACAUUUUCCAACACUUUGAGCAACUGUAUUGAUCUCAGCUCAAAGCUUUAGUUUUGGCUGUAAACAAUGAAUGAUAGAGGCCAGGCUUUUAAACGGCCUCUCUGAUGUCCUGGGAGGACACAAGGCUGCUUUGUAAGUGUAGGAGCCAGUCCUGGUAGUGACAAGGCAGAGAGGAAGGUUGUAUUCAAUGCUGAAAUGAUGGUGAAUUGUAUCAAGAGGCUGCUGUGCAAGGGCUGUGGGAGGCAGACAAGUCCCAGCAGGCCUGGGGCACUGCCUGGGGUGUGGGCAGCAGCACAAGGUGAGCCCAGGGCUGAGAGCCUCCCUGUGCUUGGAAGGACAGCCCUGAGGGCUUUCAUAUUGCCAUGCCACCAAAGGGCUUCCACCUGCCUCGGUGGGGUAACACAGCUUGAGGCAAAGGGCGAACUGCCCUCGGCUAAGGGUGUUGUCUCAAUUUGCCUAAAGCUCAGCAGUAGAAGAAAAUGAAAGGUUUUGUGUGUGUGUUUUCAUUUUGUUUGUUUGUUUUCCCCCAAAUUUAAAUCACGGUAAGCAGUUUGCUUUCUGAAGUUAAAUUAUCAAGUUGCAUUUUAAAAAGCUAUUUCUGUUCAUGACAGUGGCAAGACUGGAAACUGACCACUGUGUGUCUCCUCAUAAUUGUUUGCCAGAGAAGGGCACAGAGGGCCCAGAUCUUCUUAAGUGAUGACCAUAGAGCUCCGGCCCUUCAAGUGAGCCCAGCUGCGCUCCUUGAUGCUCCUUGAAAGUCCCAAGAGGGUCACCUCACCCCUCAGUGCCUGCAGGUAGCAAGGCCUACCAAUACUGCUUGCUAACGCGGCUACCAAAUGUCAUCUGUCCCACGGAGCUAAGCAGUGUGACAAUAAUGACUCACUGCAGACACACCUUGACCAUCAACUCUUUUGUGAGCCUACCGCACCCUUUCCUGCAGGCUUUGACUCGCUUGGUCUGAAAAGCAUCUUGGAGUUUUUCCUUUGAUAGAGAGUGGCCCUCCGACAGUUUACAGAUGAGGGACAAACCUGUGACUGUACCGCUGGCUUUGCCUGAUGUACCAUUAACGCGUGCUGAUGGUGCUCUGCCUGAAGGCAUUUGCCCUUAGAGAACUGGGAUGCAGAAAUCGUUCAUUUUGUAAUAACUGGAAACUGAGGUUGUAACAAUAUGAGGCACACGUGGAAUUGUACGCUAUCUCUGGAGGUACAUCUAUUUGACAAGGUCAAUACAAAACCAGGCUGCUUUUUGGGUAGUACUUUUAGGCCUGGACAGAAAAAAGUGUAUCUGCAGAUUUAUCCAAUGACUUGAUAAACAUCUUUCUUUUCUCACGUGAACACGUAAUUUGUGUAAGUGCACUGCGAAGUUUAAGAUCUGUCUGUUUUCACACUGGUUUCUCUGAAGUUUUUAUUCAAUCUGUGUGUACAGCUCUCACUGUAAUGCAGAUUUAGUUAAUCCCUAUUCCCAUUUCAACAAAUAACCUAAAUAGUGCUAAAAGUUACGAGCUGUGGCUGAAUUCACGUUCUCCUCCCUGCUCACCACAGUCCAUAAUAUUUACUAGUUGAUGUCAUUCAAUUUUAGCCUGACAAUCUGCAUCCUAACGAUUUUUUGGUGUUGCAAUUAAUUGAUUUGCUAAUGCCUUUCUUUUGCCUUUCCCCCCUUCAUUUCCACAUUCCUUUGUCUCCUCUGCUCACAGUGUCUUUAAGAAGUUAUAAACAGAUUCUCUCCCACCGUAUUUGUUUACAUAUGGACAUGGUUAUAC
ensembl:lncRNA